AGGGGGAGUCUGGACUCUUAGGAAUUCCUGGAGCUCCUGGGUCAGGAGGCCCUCAGGGAGUGAGAGGAGCUCGUGGUGUCAAAGGAGACGCAGGGAGGCUGGGACCUUCUGGUCCGGGGGGACAGGUCGGACCGCAGGGAGAACAGGGAGGGAAAGGAGAGCCAGGUCCACAGGGAG